UCAAGUGUCUUAAGGGCAUUUGGUGGAUGCCUUGGCAUGCACAGGCGAUGAAGGACGUGAUACGCUGCGAUAAGCGUCGGGGAGGUGCGAAUACCCUUUGAUCCGACGAUUUCCGAAUGGGGCAACCCACCUUAGAUAGCUAGAAAAUUUGAAUUGUUGGCGCGCAAGCAAGAACAGUUCAACUUUCUAGUUAUCGUAAUAAGGUAUCUAAUUCUGAAUACAUAGGGGUUAGAAGCGAACCUGGGGAACUGAAACAUCUAAGUACCCAGAGGAAAGGACAUCAAACGAGACUCCGCUAGUAGUGGCGAGCGAACGCGGACCAGGCCAGUGGCUUAUGUGAGUAAAGUGGAACAAUCUGGAAAGGUUGGCUAAAGUGGGUGAUAGCCCCGUACACGUAGAACGAUCAUAAGUCCUUGAGUAGGGCGGGACACGUGAAAUCCUGUCUGAACAUGGGUCGACCACGAUCCAAGCCUAAGUACUCGUGCAUGACCGAUAGCGAACCAGUACCGUGAGGGAAAGGUGAAAAGCACCCCGACGAGGGGAGUGAAAUAGUACCUGAAACCGAAUGCCUACAAACAGUUGGAGCCCAAGAUCAGUUCUGGGUGACAGCGUACCUUUUGUAUAAUGGGUCAGCGACUUAGUCUGACGAGCAAGCUUAAGCCGGUAGGUGUAGGCGUAGCGAAAGCGAGUCUGACAGGCGUUCAGUUCGUCGGAUUAGACCCGAAACCAAGUGAUCUAGCCAUGAGCAGGUUGAAGGUACGGUAACACGUACUGGAGGACCGAACCCAUAUCUGUUGCAAUAGAUCGGGAUGACUUGUGGNUAGGGGUGAAAGSCCAAUCAAACUUGGAGAUAGCUGGUUCUCCGCGAAAUCUAUUUAGGUAGAGCGUCCAGCGAAUACCCCCGGGGGUAGAGCACUGAAUGGGCUAUGGGGACUCACCGUCUUACUGAUCCUAAUCAAACUCCGAAUACCGGGGAGUACUACUGGGCAGACACACGGCGGGUGCUAACGUCCGUCGUGAAGAGGGCAACAACCCUGACCACCAUCUAAGGUCCCUAAGUUAUGGCUAAGUGGGAAAGGAUGUGAGGAUCCCAAAACAACCAGGAUGUUGGCUUAGAAGCAGCCAUCAUUUAAAGAAAGCGUAACAGCUCACUGGUCUAAAUAAGGGUCUUUGCGCCGAAAAUGUACCGGGGCUAAAGCCAUACACCGAAGCUGUGGAUGCACGUAUGUGCGUGGUAGCGGAGCGUUCCGUAAGCCUGUGAAGGGACAGUCGUGAGACAUCCUGGAGGUAUCGGAAGUGAGAAUGCUGACAUGAGUAACGAUAAAGGGAGUGAGAGACUCCCUCGCCGAAAGUCCAAGGGUUCCUGCUUAAAGUUAAUCUGAGCAGGGUUAGCCGGCCCCUAAGGCGAGGCCGAAAGGCGUAGUCGAUGGGAACCACGUUAAUAUUCGUGGGCCUGCAGGUAGUGACGGAUUGCGUGUGUUGUCAGGUCUUAUUGGAUUGAUCUGGCAGCGAAGCGGUUCCAGGAAAUAGCUCCUGCAUAUAGACCGUACCCUAAACCGACACUGGUGGACUGGUAGAGAAUACCAAGGCGCUUGAGAGAACUGCGUUGAAGGAACUCGGCAAAAUGCACGCGUAACUUCGGAAGAAGCGUGACCUCCAUUUAGGCAACUAGGUGGAGGUGGCACAGACCAGGGGGUAGCGACUGUUUACCAAAAACACAGGGCUCUGCGAAGUCGCAAGACGACGUAUAGGGUCUGACGCCUGCCCGGUGCUGGAAGGUUAAGAGGAGAUGUGCAAGCAUUGAAUUGAAGCCCCAGUAAACGGCGGCCGUAACUAUAACGGUCCUAAGGUAGCGAAAUUCCUUGUCGGGUAAGUUCCGACCUGCACGAAUGGCGUAACGACUUCCCCGCUGUCUCCAACGCAGACUCAGUGAAAUUGAAUUC
rnacentral:rRNA from 1 species